GUUUCUUCAAUUAUACAAGAAUGCAUGACGAUAGAAUCCGUUUUUCCCAGUACAACUGAUGGCCCAAACAUCCUUUCUUUAUACUUGUUCUAGCAAGUGCGUCUAUACUACUGAAGAGUCUGUAGACUCUAUCUAACUCUAUUCAUAUCCUGCCUGCUGCCAUCCACCGUCAUCCUGCAAAAGGUUUGGGCAAGGAUGUAGAUUAUCUUCAAUUCUGAAGGAACAUCUGUACUAGAUAGGAAACAUUUUUACAAACAUUUACUGAGUGAUAUGUCAACUAUUCAGCCUUGGUAAUGGGAGAGAAUAUAAUAUUCUAAGAGCUUGGUAACUAGGAUUAAUUCUUGAGCUCUAAAAUGUUUUACAAGCGUCUGAAUCGUUUGCUCAGUCUGCGGAACAUUAUAAUCAUUGGCACUAUCA
rnacentral:sRNA from 1 species